CGCAUCUGUGCAUGCAGCAUAUCAAUAAGCGGAGGAAAAGAAACUAACAAGGAUUCCCCUAGUAACGGCGAGUGAAGCGGGAAGAGCUCAAAUUUGAAAUCUUAAAGGGUUUCCCUUUACGAAUUGUAGUUUAAAGAAGUGUUUUCUGUUGAGGUUUUGGUAAAAGUUCUUUGGAAUAGGACAUCAUAGAGGGUGAGAAUCCCGUAUUUGACCUUUACUUUCAACUUUGUGAUACACUUUCAAAGAGUCGGAUUGUUUGGGAAUGCAGUCCCAAAAUGGGUGGUAAAUUUCAUCUAAAGCUAAAUAUUGGCGAGAGACCGAUAGCGAACAAGUACCGUGAGGGAAAGAUGAAAAGAACUUUGAAAAGAGAGUUAAACAGUACGUGAAAUUGUCAAAAGGGAAGCGUUUGACACCAGUGUUGUUUUUCUGAAAAUCAAUUAAAGAACUGUUUAUGCUAAGUUGUUUAGACUUUAUCAGCUAACUGUUUAGUUUUGAGCUUUUCUUUAAUGCACUUUUCAGUUAACAAGUCAACAUCAAUUUCUUUUGCUGUAAAAAAGCUUGAGGAAGGUGGCUUGAGAUUCGUCUUAAGUGUUUAUAGCCUCUUGCCUAUGCAGUCGGAGAGAUUGAGGUCUGCAGCGUAGAUCCUUCGGGGCUAAAUGCAUUUGUGCUAAGUUAUAACAUUUUAUAGACAACUUGUUGACUAUGAUUUGUCUUGUAGCUUACUCGCUUAUGUUAUUUUACCUACGCUUAGGAUGUUGACAGCAGUAUAGACUGU
rnacentral:rRNA from 1 species